GACAGAGGGUGCAAACGUUGCUCGGAAUCACUGGGCGUAAAGGGCGUGUAGGCGGGCAUGUAAGUCGGGCGUGAAAUCCCUAGGCUCAACCUAGGAACUGCACUCGAAACUGCGUUUCUUGAGUAUCGGAGAGGAAAGCGGAAUACCUGGUGUAGAGGUGAAAUUCGUAGAUAUCAGGUGGAACACCAGUGGCGAAGGCGGCUUUCUGGACGAUAACUGACGCUGAGACGCGAAAGCGUAAGGAGCAAACAGG
rnacentral:rRNA from 1 species